GAUGAACGCUGGCGGCGUGCCUAAUACAUGCAAGUCCAGCGAAUGGAUUAAGAGCUUGCUCUUAUGAAGUUAGCGGCGGACGGGUGAGUAACACGUGGGUAACCUGCCCAUAAGACUGGGAUAACUCCGGGAAACCGGGGCUAAUACCGGAUAACAUUUUGAACCGCAUGGUUCGAAAUUGAAAGGCGGCUUCGGCUGUCACUUAUGGAUGGACCCGCGUCGCAUUAGCUAGUUGGUGAGGUAACGGCUCACCAAGGCAACGAUGCGUAGCCGACCUGAGAGGGUGAUCGGCCACACUGGGACUGAGACACGGCCCAGACUCCUACGGGAGGCAGCAGUAGGGAAUCUUCCGCAAUGGACGAAAGUCUGACGGAGCAACGCCGCGUGAGUGAUGAAGGCUUUCGGGUCGUAAAACUCUGUUGUUAGGGAAGAACAAGUGCUAGUUGAAUAAGCUGGCACCUUGACGGUACCUAACCAGAAAGCCACGUCUAACUACGUGCCAGCCGCCGCGGUAA
rnacentral:rRNA from 1 species